CUGCUGACACUGCGACGUGGGAGGAAAGCAGACAAUACUGUAAGAGUAAAGGAGCUGACCUGAUGGUUAUCAACAGUGAACAGGAACUGCUAUCCUUUUACAUUAUGAACCAUCCUAUUUCCGUGUACUGGAUUGGUCUGCAUCUAACAAAUGGGAGCUUCAGAUGGGUGGAUGGAUCUGCACUGACCAAAGAAUCUUGGGAGCCUGGUGGGCUGAGCAAAUCAUACAGCCAGAGCUGUGUGGAGGUGAAUUUCUUCAAGUCAUUGAAGAUCAGCUGGAGGAAUGUCCCUUGUCAAUGGAGGCAGAGGUGGUUGUGUGAGAGAGAUCCAUGUCCCCUUCCAUAGUGUCAGCUGAAGAACAUAAUAUUAUAUGCGUAUACAUGUAAAUAAAUGAAUUUAAACACAGAAGAACAUAUAUGUUUGCAUUCAAAUAGUGGAAUAGAUACUGAUUUAAGCUAAACUAGACAGCUUGUUCUCAGCUUACAAUGGCUUCUUUAUGUUUUAAUUAGUAUG